AUCGCUUCUCGGCCUUUUGGCUAAGAUCAAGUGUAGUAUCUGUUCUUAUCAGUUUAAUAUCUGAUACGUCCUCUAUCCGAGGACAAUAUAUUAAAUGGAUUUUUGGAGCAGGGAGAUGGAAUAGGAGCUUGCUCCGUCCACUCCACGCAUCGACCUGGUAUUGCAGUACCUCCAGGAACGGUGCACUCGGG
rnacentral:snRNA from 1 species